AGAGCGAACGCUGGCGGCAGGCCUAAUACAUGCAAGUCGAACGGACCCUUCGGGGUUAGUGGCGGACGGGUGAGUAACACGUGGGAACGUGCCCUUUGGUUCGGAACAACUCAGGGAAACUUGAGCUAAUACCGAAUGUGCCCUUCGGGGGAAAGAUUUAUCGCCAUUGGAGCGGCCCGCGUCUGAUUAGCUAGUUGGUGGGGUAAAGGCUCACCAAGGCUACGAUCAGUAGCUGGUCUGAGAGGAUGAUCAGCCACACUGGGACUGAGACACGGCCCAGACUCCUACGGGAGGCAGCAGUAGGGAAUCUUGCGCAAUGGGCGAAAGCCUGACGCAGCCAUGCCGCGUGAAUGAUGAAGGUCUUAGGAUUGUAAAAUUCUUUCAGCGGGGACGAUAAUGACGGUACCCGCAGAAGAAGCCCCGGCUAACUUCGUGCCAGCAGCCGC
rnacentral:rRNA from 1 species